rnacentral:lncRNA from 1 species
AAAAGCAGAGUUGCAUAGAUCAAGGUAUGUGAGAUUCUGAAAGAGGUAUAUUAAAGUCUCAGCAUGAAAGCAUAAAGGCCAUAAUGAAUGCAUUUCAAGAAUGUGAUCUCUUUCAGCAUGUCCACACCCUGCCUUCCACAUGUCACUACAGGAGAGGAGGAUGAGGAAACUGAGGCAUGGAGCAGUCCACGUGAAUGAGUCUCGUAGUAAGUGAUGGAACUAGGAUGCAACUCUCUGGUGUGAGUGCCCCACUCUGAGAGAUGGAAUCUCGCUCUGUCACCAGGCUGGAGUGCAGUGGCAUGAUCUCGGCUCACUGCAACCUCUGCUUCCAGGGUUCAAGCGAUUCUGCUGCCUCAGCCUCCCAAGCAGCUGGGACUACAGGCUUGGUCAGGAUUUGUGUAGAAAGUGCACAGCAGAACUGAGCCUAUGCAUUCAAAGUCCUGAGUACCCCUACAAAGGAAGAGGACACAAAUGAAAAAUAUUCCCUCAUACCAAGGAUUGUCCUGAAAUCCAAGACCAUAUUUUAUGAGAAGACAUACAUCAGAGAGAGAGAGAUUACAGUAUGCAAUCUCUCAGCUGCCAACAGAACACAGAUGGGCUUGGGAACAGAGAAUGAUCCAGAUCUGCAGGACUGGAGCAAUCCGUGGGAAGUUUGGACAGAAGAUCUGAUGCAUAAGACAGUAAAGGACUAUUGAAUGUUCCAUGAUAGAUAUGCUUGUUCUUUUGCCUGCAUGCCCUUGAAUAAAGACAUUUUGAUCUCCAGGACCAACCUGAGAAACAUAUAAUUUAAUCUAGUUUUGAAAGAAGAGCCCUGCUACACAAAUACUGGCUCACAAUGUUAAGAGAUAUCAACUGAAAUAUCAAAGGGCUUUCAUAUUUCAUUAAAUUGACUAUCCUAUGUGUUUGAUAUUUCCAUUUAAUUGAAUAUUUCUUAACUCAAUGAAAAAUGUAUGAGCCUGCUGUGAUAAAUUCGGUGUCGCAUAUGGGAAUUUCAAGUGUCUUUGAUUGAAUCUUAUUUCUUGAUAUCUCACCUUUCAGAAGAGAGAUACAAAAAGACUGUUAGCCUGCUUGCUUCUGUUUUUUCUGCCCCAUCUCCACCCUUAUUCCCAAACUGUGGUUCACACAUUUAUUUCUAUUUUUAAAAAUUUUCUCUUGCUGCUGCCAUUCUCUUAUUACUCAUUUUUUAAAUACCCAGUCCACUUUCCUUACUUUUCUUUAAUGUCUGCCUCAGAGCUCAGCUUUUUUAGUUAAUUGAUGACAUCACUAGCCUUUAGUUCUGAGAGACUGAAUAUACAGUCACACCAUACAUUGAAACAGAAUUCUAAGCCACAAAUUGCAAUAACCAGAGCAAGACCACAGCCUCCAUGGCAAUUAGCCCAAAAUGGUCAGGACCUGAUCAAUAACGGACAACUUUCAUAAUUUUUAGCCCCCUUCCCCCACUUCCAGCUUGGGACCAACUGGAGAAAGACAAAUAUGCUGCCUAACCACCCGCAUAGGAUGCUUUUCUUUCAAUUAUCGGGCUUCCGACUUCCCCGGACCAAUAGCCUCCAAUCAGGCAGACCUGAAGCCUUCCCUUUUUCCCAUUCUAAAGCUUUCCUACUCCUCUGCCUGCCUUUGAGUCUCCGACAAACACAAAUAAUGGCGGUUAACUUCUUUACUAUGCUAGCUCUGAAUAAAUAUCCUUAUUAAUAUACUUUUCUUGUUCGCAUCUGGGUGCACUUCAUUUGUUUCCAUAGUUCUUUCAUUCCAUGAACUUUCCAAUUAAAAACUGUUUUGAAUAAAUGCCACGGUCUUGGCUUUUCUGCAAUCAUCAACUCUCUCUAGCUUCUGCCUUCAAUUCCACACCUUAUCCAGAUGCAAACUAGCUUUUAGGAAGCUUUAGGAGGUAUUUUUUUUUCACUACGUAUAUUUUAUUUGACUGAAAAAUGAUAAAAUAUCAUUUAAAUUGAAUGUGCACCAACUGUGGCUCCUAAGCUGAAUAAUAACAUAAAUUUGUAUCCAUAAGCAUAAUAGGACAUUUAAUAAUCCUUGUUACAUCUAUUGAUUAACAUACUCUGUAAAGUCAUUUGGUCUUGUGCCAAAUAGAAACUAUAAAAAUAUAAUGAGCUUUUUGUCAAAAACUGUUAUGUAAGGCCUUGGAAGCUUCUAGUAGUUCAGUGCUUUCUAUUCCAUUCACGUUUUUGUUGAAAUAAAAUGGAAAAGAAAAUAACCUUGUAUAUGCAUAUUAGAACUAACAGGUAAGGGUUUCCAUGGAUACUUCUUUUAUGCAGCCAAAGAGUUCGUGUGCGGAAAAAGGCAUUCAUUUCUAGUUCUAAGAGAUUCUGUUCUGAUAAGGAACUCCUGCCAAUCAUUUUAUGUCUUGACUUUCUAA